rnacentral:sRNA from 1 species
AGCGGGAUGUGCCUGAGGGAAGGGACAAGGUGGGCAGGCUGUCCCUCCACAUCAGAACCUUCCUAGACCUUUUAGUCCAAGAGGAAGCCCAGGCCUGGAACGGUGGCUGCGUGGAUUUUUCCCGCCAACUCGAAGAAACUCAGCGCCCCCUGCUGUCUGCUGUGGGACGUGCUCUGAGACCUGGUGCUUGGCCAUUGUGGCUGCAGAUGCCUGUGCUGCCCCUUCCCCUAGUCUGAGGAAAAGCAAGACAAGCCCUCUGGCCUUGGGGGCCCAGUGCCCCAGUCUAAACUGGAGGCCCGUGAGUACCGUGAUGCUCAGGAGUUUGGUGCUGAUGUCCGAUUGAUGUUCUCCAACUGCUAUAAGUACAACCCUCCUGACCAUGAGGUGGUGGCCAUGGCCCGCAAGCUCCAGGAUGUGUUCGAAAUGCGCUUUGCCAAGAUGCCGGACGAGCCUGAGGAGCCAGUGGUGGCCGUGUCCUCCCCGGCAGUGCCCCCUCCCACCAAGGUUGUGGCCCCGCCCUCAUCCAGCGACAGCAGCAGCGAUAGCUCCUCGGACAGUGACAGUUCGACUGAUGACUCUGAGGAGGAGCGAGCCCAGCGGCUGGCUGAGCUCCAGGAGCAGCUCAAAGCCGUGCACGAGCAGCUUGCAGCCCUCUCUCAGCCCCAGCAGAACAAACCAAAGAAAAAGGAGAAAGACAAGAAGGAAAAGAAAAAAGAAAAGCACAAAAGGAAAGAGGAAGUGGAAGAGAAU